CCCUUAGAUGUCCUGGGCCGCACGCGCGCUACACUGAGUGUCUGAGAUACGAGUCUGCCUGGUCCGGCAAGGUCUAGGUAAUCGCUAAAAGACACAUCAUGCUUGGGAUAGAUUAUUGCAAAUAUUAAUCUUAAACGAGGAAUUCCUAGUAAGCGCAAGUCAACAGCUUGCGUUGAUUACGUCCCUGCCCUUUGUACACACCGCCCGUCGCUACUACUGAUUGGAUGUUUAAGCGAGGUUCUCGAACUGCUAGCGACUUAGCUUCGGUGAGGUCGCAGUGUGGGAAGUGAACCUAGCUUUGGUGUCUAGAGGAAGUAAAAGUCGUAACA
rnacentral:rRNA from 1 species